rnacentral:rRNA from 1 species
UACGGAAGGUGCGAGCGUUAAUCGGAAUUACUGGGCGUAAAGGGCUCGUAGGCGGCCAACUAAGUCAGACGUGAAAUUCCUCGGCUUAACCGGGGAACUGCGUCUGAUACUGGAUGGCUAGAGGUUGGGAGAGGGAUGCGGAAUUCCAGGUGUAGCGGUGAAAUGCGUAGAUAUCUGGAGGAACACCGGUGGCGAAGGCGGCAUCCUGGACCAAUUCUGACGCUGAGGAGCGAAAGCCAGGGGAGCAAACGGG